rnacentral:miRNA from 1 species
UGCCCUGCAUGGUGUCCCCACAG